rnacentral:rRNA from 1 species
GACGUAGGGCGCGAGCGUUGUCCGGAUUUAUUGGGCGUAAAGAGCUCGUAGGCGGCUUGUCGCGUCGGCUGUGAAAUCCCGUGGCUCAACUGCGGGUCUGCAGCCGAUACGGGCAGGCUAGAGUUCGGUAGGGGAGACUGGAAUUCCUGGUGUAGCGGUGGAAUGCGCAGAUAUCAGGAGGAACACCGAUGGCGAAGGCAGGUCACUGGGCCGCAACUGACGCUGAGGAGCGAAAGCAUGGGGAGCGAACAGG